UCCAUCUCCCUGAAGCUCAGCCGCUGGUAGCAACUUUCCAUGAAUAUAGUGGUCAUCAUGCUUUUGCAUACCCUGAGCUUUCCAUCCUAGCACCCAUUACAAUUGACUCCGUGCUGCAUGCCCGACGGGAUCGUGAAGCUAUCUUAACCAUGUAGUUCCAAGAGGAUCAGGUUCCAAUCGGGAUACUCAAGCAAGCCAUCACAUCCGUUAUUUUUGGUCCAAACAUGGCCGCUGGCUUCGCUCAGAAUGCAGCAAUAAUCUAAAUUUGUGAAGAUACGAAUCAGGAGGAUGCCACCACAUCAGGUAUAUAUUUGCCUCCAAUGGGUUACACAAGAUUUGAGUGAUGUAUAUUAAGCUUCCGCUAGAAAAUCAAAAUACCAAGGUACCAAUCAAAUUCUAUGGUACUUGCAGUUUUUAAGGAUUGAAUUUGCACCAUCCACAGAGUGAUGUCUCUGUUAUAUUAUUAUGCAAAGUUCUAUUCUAAUAUGUGCAAUGUUCAUUUUCUUUCUAUAGAGGCAUAGUAUAUUGUG